AAUUUCCUGAAAUGCUCGAAUCGACCUGGUAUUUUGAACCUACAACAUUGAACAGGGAGUUCGACGUUUUCAAUAGGAUGUCAAGCCUCCUUGAGAGGAAGACAGAGGAUUGGAACAGGACACCCACCUAGAAUAUUUCUAGGCGUCAAAAUCCAGGCAACGACAUUUCGGGAAUAAG
rnacentral:other from 1 species